rnacentral:rRNA from 1 species
GCAAGAUUAAAACUCAAAGGAAUUGACGGGGGCCCGCACAAGCGGUGGAGUAUGUGGUUUAAUUCGAUGCAACGCGAAGAACCUUACCUGGUCUUGACAUCUCAAGGAUCUCCUGGAAACAGGAGAGUGCUUUCUUUCGAGAGAACUUGAAGACAGGUGCUGCAUGGUUGUCGUCAGCUCGUGUCGUGAGAUGUUGGGUUAAGUCCCGCAACGAGCGCAACCCUCGCCAUUAGUUGCCAUCAUUUAGUUGGGCACUCUAAUGGGACUGCCGGUGUCAAACCGGAGGAAGGUGGGGAUGACGUCAAGUCCUCAUGGCCUUUAUGACCAGGGCUACACACGUACUACAAUGGCCGAUACAAAGGGCAGCCACAGGGUGACCUGGAGCAAAUCCCAUAAAGUCGGUCUCAGUCCGGAUCGGAGUCUGCAACUCGACUCCGUGAAGUUGGAAUCGCUAGUAAUCGUGGAUCAGCAUGCCACGGUGAAUACGUUCCCGGGCCUUGUACACACCGCCCGUCACACCACGGAAGUUGGUUGUACCAGAAGUAGUUGAGCGAACCUUCGGGGCGCAGACUACCAAGGUAUGGCUGGUAACUGGGGUGAAGUCGUAACAAGGUA